rnacentral:piRNA from 1 species
UGGUAAUUAUGUGCAAGUGAUACAAU